AUCCUGUUGAUUAAUAAAAGGUGUGACCUGCUCAAUGAGGAAUCUUAAAUAGCCGCGGUAUUUUGACCGUGCUAAGGUAGCAUAAUCAUUAGUCUUUUAAUUAAAGGCUUGUAUGAAUGGUUGGACGAGAAAAUUUCUGUCUCUGAAUUGAUUUUUGAAGUUUACUUUUAAGUGAAAAGGCUUAAAUGUGUUUAAAGGACGAUCAGACCCUAUAGAGCUUUAUUCUAAAGAUUUAUAAUAAUUGUAAGUAAAAUUUUUGUAGGUUGAAGGAUUUUUAUUGGGGCGAUAUAGAGUAAAAAGAAACACUCUAAUAAGUUAACAUAAAUAGAUGAAUUAUUGAUCCUUGUUGAAGGAUUAAGAGUUUAAGUUACCUUAGGGAUAACAGCGUAAUCUUUUUGGAGAGUUCUUAUCGAUGGAAAGGUUUGCGACCUCGAUGUUGGAUUAAGAGAUUGACAGGGUGCAGUAGCUCUGUAAAAAAGUCUGUUCGACUUUUAAAAUCUUACA
rnacentral:rRNA from 1 species